AUUGAACGCUGGCGGCAGGCCUAACACAUGCAAGUCGAGCGAGCGGCGGACGGGUGAGUAAUAUAUGGAGACUUACCGAUAGAGCGGGGUAACUACUGGAAACGGUCGCUAAUACCGCAUACUACCGUAUAACUCAUAUGGGCUUAGCUAGUUGGUGAGGUAAUGGCUCACCUAGGCGACGAUCCCUACCUGGUCUGAGAGGAUGAUCAGCCACACUGGGACGGAGACACGGCCCAGACUCCUACGGAGGCAGCAGUGGGGAAUAUUGCGCAAUGGGCGCAAGCCUGAUGCAGCCAUGCCGCGUGUAUGAAGAAGGCCUUAGGGUUGUAAAGUACUUUUAUUCGGGAGGCGUUACCGAAAGAAGAAGCCCCGGCUAACUACGUGCCAGCAGCCGCGGUAAUAC
rnacentral:rRNA from 1 species